UUGACCUACGGGGGGCAGCAGUGGGGAAUAUUGGGCAAUGGGCGCAAGCCUGACCCAGCAACGCCGCGUGAAGGAAGAAGGCUUUCGGGUUGUAAACUUCUUUUGUCAGGGACGAAGCAAGUGACGGUACCUGACGAAUAAGCCACGGCUAACUACGUGCCAGCAGCCGCGGUAAUACGUAGGUGGCAAGCGUUAUCCGGAUUUACUGGGUGUAAAGGGUGCGUAGGUGGCAGGGCAAGUCAGAUGUGAAAGCCCGGG
rnacentral:rRNA from 1 species